GAUGAAGAACGUAGUGAAAUGCGAUAAGUAGUGUGAAUUGCAGAAUUCAGUGAAUCAUCGAAUCUUUGAACGCACAUUGCGCCCCUUGGUAUUCCAUGGGGCAUGCCUGUUCGAGCGUCAUUUGUACCUUCAAGCUCUGCUUGGUGUUGGGUGUUUGUCUCGCCUCUGCGUGUAGACUCGCCUCAAAACAAUUGGCAGCCGGCGUAUUGAUUUCGGAGCGCAGUACAUCUCGCGCUUUGCACUCAUAACGACGACGUCCAAAAGUACAUUUUUACACUCUUGACCUCGGAUCAGGUAGGGAUACCCGCUGAACUUAAGCAUAUCAAUAAGCGGAGA
rnacentral:misc_RNA from 1 species